AUUGAACGCUGGCGGCAUGCCUUACACAUGCAAGUCGAACGGUAACAGGUCUUCGGAUGCUGACGAGUGGCGAACGGGUGAGUAAUACAUCGGAACGUGCCUAGUAGUGGGGGAUAACUACUCGAAAGAGUGGCUAAUACCGCAUGAGAUCUACGGAUGAAAGCAGGGGAUCGCAAGACCUUGUGCUACUAGAGCGGCCGAUGGCAGAUUAGGUAGUUGGUGGGAUAAAAGCUUACCAAGCCGACGAUCUGUAGCUGGUCUGAGAGGACGAUCACCCACACUGGAACUGAGACACUGCCCAGACUCCGACGGGAGGAAGCAGUGGUGAAUUCUGGACAAUGGGCGCAAGCCUGAUACAGCAAUGCCGCGUGCAGGAUGAAGGCCUUCGGGUUGUAAACUGCUUUUGUACGGAACGAAAAGCCCUGGGUUAAUACCCUGGGGUCAUGACGGUACCGUAAGAAUAAGCACCGGCUAACUACGUGCCAGCCGCCGCCGUAA
rnacentral:rRNA from 1 species